AAGGGACUGUGGGUGAGAAUGAGAGAUCUUUGUUGUUUGUCCAAAUGUGCUGUAACAUCAGAACUUCCAGCCUGUGCCGCAGCAGAAAAGGAGUAUUGGGGAACGUCGGUGGUUUUUGAUUCACGGAGAGUGAAUGUGUGACAUACGUUUCUCACCUGGGAGCCAACACUGGCUGUGGCAGUUUGAUGCACAACAGUUGGUUCCAUUUCCAUUGGUAAUCCGAACACUGCUGCCGGAACUGCACGCUCAGCUUCCCAGAACCGAGUUGGAUUGACACUGGCUCAAGGAGUCCCAAGGCUCAGAGUGCUCCCACAUCCGACGUAACCUUCUCAAGGCACAAAGGUAAGGAGCUUGGAUAUGGCUGGAUAAACUCCGGGUCUUUGGCUUAGCCAGGGCUUUAUGUGGAGGGAAUCCUAUGUUCACAGUCACUCUAAUACAUAACCUUAGAGAAGCUCACAAAGCUCCAAAGUAACCACGAGUCUAAUACAGAAGAUCUGUAUCAAGAAGGAGUCUCGACAUCAAGCUGCGAGUGAUCUCUGUGCAUGUGACCUCGAGAGCCAUCCCUGCUCGAGGGCAGAUCCUGUCGUGCAGUGCACUGCUGUGCAGGAGAGCUCGAGGGGUGCUUGGGCUGCUCCCUGUUUUGGGGUGAGAUGACCGACUCCUUGCCAUGCUUUGUUUUUAGGCACGCUCUCCGUGUGCCCUCAGCUGUUGAAGUGAGUGUCAGCUAUGAGUUCUCUCAGCCCCGCAGUUUGAGACAGCUUUGUGAUGGUUCAUCUCUUUGAGCCAGAGCGUUAGCAGUGCUGUUGCUGGUUGUCUUCCUGUGCCAGGCCUGGUGUGCCAUCCCGGAGGCAGUGCCCUGCAGAUGGGCUGGGGAGGGCUGGGCUGGGACAGGGACUGCUGCGUUGCCU
rnacentral:lncRNA from 1 species